UACGAAGGGGACUAGCGUUGUUCGGAAUUACUGGGCGUAAAGCGCACGUAGGCGGAUUGCUAAGUCAGGGGUGAAAUCCCGGGGCUCAACCUCGGAACUGCCUUUGAUACUGACAAUCUCGAGUCCGAUAGAGGUGGGUGGAAUUCCUAGUGUAGAGGUGAAAUUCGUAGAUAUUAGGAAAGAACACCGGUGGCGAAGGCGGCCCACUGGAUCGGUACUGACGCUGAGGUGCGAAAGCGUGGGGAGCAAACAGG
rnacentral:rRNA from 1 species